rnacentral:rRNA from 1 species
CGAACGGGUGAGUAACACGUGGGCAAUCUGCCCUGCACUCUGGGACAAGCCCUGGAAACGGGGUCUAAUACCGGAUAUUACUCGUCAAGGCAUCUUGACGGGUGGAAAGCUCCGGCGGUGCAGGAUGAGCCCGCGGCCUAUCAGCUUGUUGGUGGGGUGAUGGCCUACCAAGGCGACGACGGGUAGCCGGCCUGAGAGGGCGACCGGCCACACUGGGACUGAGACACGGCCCAGACUCCUACGGGAGGCAGCAGUGGGGAAUAUUGCACAAUGGGCGAAAGCCUGAUGCAGCGACGCCGCGUGAGGGAUGACGGCCUUCGGGUUGUAAACCUCUUUCAGCAGGGAAGAAGCGCAAGUGACGGUACCUGCAGAAGAAGCACCGGCUAACUACGUGCCAGCAGCCGCGGUAAUACGUAGGGUGCGAGCGUUGUCCGGAAUUAUUGGGCGUAAAGAGCUCGUAGGCGGCUUGUCGCGUCGGAUGUGAAAGCCCGGGGCUUAACCCCGGGUCUGCAUUCGAUACGGGCAGGCUAGAGUUCGGUAGGGGAGAUCGGAAUUCCUGGUGUAGCGGUGAAAUGCGCAGAUAUCAGGAGGAACACCGGUGGCGAAGGCGGAUCUCUGGGCCGAUACUGACGCUGAGGAGC